AGCUUUGCGCAGUGGCAGUAUCGUAGCCAAUGAGGUUUAUCCGAGGCGCGAUUAUUGCUAAUUAAACUAAAAAUGGCUUUAUAGCAGAGAAAAUUUUCAGGCAUCUUUGAGAGGA
rnacentral:snRNA from 1 species